GUUGUUACUUGUCGUCAUGGAAUAACCUUAACACUGCUGUCUUUCACUUUUAAAAGUGCCCUGAUUUAGAAAUAAAUUAUAUGAUUUUACACAGAGAACACAAAAUCCAGCUCCAUUAAUUUAUGGGAGAGGAGUUUCUGAGUGGCUGACUGUACUCAGCAAUAACAAACACAUCUCUUGUCCUCUGGAUGGAGUCCAAACUCUUUAGGGCACAAUACAGAAUCCUGCAGGAUUGAGCCCUGGUUCCCACUGAGUCUCUCUUCCUCUCUCUCUCUGCUUCCCCAUAUUUCUCUUUCACUUUUGCACUUGUUCACCUCUCAUUAUUUUAUGUCAUAUAUUUGUGGGGACACACCAAAGUAGUAUUAGUAUUAUUUUCUCAAUAUUUUCAGCUACUCUCUUUCUUUUAGAUACCGAAGAAGAUUGAACCUACCAGCUUCUAGGUGAUACCAGUUGAUCACACUGAGUAGCAAGCGGGUAGGCAUUUUCUUCUUGAGCCAUGUAUCAGAAGCUGAAAAUAAUUCCAUUUUGGAGGUCAUCCAUUUUUAUAUGCUCUAGUUUCUGUGGGUCUAUCAGAUUGUCUUAUUCCCAUUUUCCUUUAAUUUCACUUGUUUUUGUGGCUUGCUUUUCAAAGGUGAGGCAUAAACGAAUAUUGAAAUGCCAGGCAUAGUGCUGGAUGCUGGAGAUCCAAGAGUCAAUAAAACAGGGACCCUGCCCUGGGAGACUUCAUCAUCAGUGGGGAGAGUUGCACCAGUCCCAAGCAAGGAAAGAGGUGUGAUAUUUAUGGGGACCUCUUGGAGACUCCAGCACUGGGUGCAUGGACCAGAAUGGUGAACACUAAAAAUCAAAGGCUUGAAAUAAGGGGAAUCAAAAUACACCCUGGAAAAACUUUUGGCAAGGGAGCAAAGGCAUGGGCCUGAGAGCCUCAUCACGAAAGGAUUGCAGGCUGGAGCUACAGCUGGGGCUGAGGCAAAGAGUUAUUAGAGGAAAAGAGAACCUUCCAGCCUGUUAAGCAUGAGUGAACAGAAACGAUAUUUGCUGUUUUGAGACGAGAGCCCUGGUGGAAAGAGACGCUGCCGGUGCCCGCUCACAUGGGAGUAAGGAUGCUAUACCACGACAAAGAACCUUUGUUCAACUUGGAAUUAUCAAAGCUGGAAACCAAGAGGUUUUAAUAAACUCCGUGGGAGAAAAAAAAAGAUACGACCUGAGAGCAUCUGACCAUUGCCAAAACUCUGGAAAACAAAUUGAGUUUACGGAGGUGCAAUUUGUGAAAUUAUUGUCAAUUUAUUAAAAUUUAUGCUGACUUGGAGGACUUCUUUUCUGAGACUGAAUUAUGGCAAAUAAUGCUGGCUGUUUUGCUCAUCGAGAGCUGUUAUUCAUGCAUUGUGGAAGAGGCCUUGUCUUCAGAACUGAGGAAAAGAAGUCGUGGGUGGGAAACGUCAGUAAGCUUUUAGACGAAUGGUCUCAUCUGACGGUUGAGCACGUAGAGUAGACAUCGUCCAUACACUCUGGCAAAGGAGAACAGAAGACAAAAAGUUGUAAGGAAGUAGGCAGAAAAUAUCUUUCAGCUAUUGGGUAUCAUGUUACCUCGGCCCCCCUGUUGAGCUUCUCUCCUAGUGACCACAUCAAAGUAAACAGAGGAGAUGGAGACAAGGGCCAGCAUCUCUCCAGGGACCUGAGGCCACGCUCUCAUGUUACUCUUUAGUCUUUUCUCCUGAGCAGGUACAUAGCAGAGCCAAGGUCAAAGCAACUUCUCAUCUCAAGGGGAGGGGCUUUUAAAAAUGAUUGGUCCUUAGUGGCUUGUACAGAUUAUUUGCUAGGGCAAACCACUGUGAAUAGUACUGCUGCUGCUGCUAAGUCGCUGCAGUCGGGUCCAACUCUGUGCAACCCCAUAGACAGCAGCCCACCAGGCUCCCCCGUCCCUGGGAUUCUCCAGGCAAGAACACUGGAGUGGGCUGCCAUUGCCUUCUCCGUGAGUAGUACUAGUAAGCACUUAAUAAAUUGUUAACUGUUAUUUUAUCUUCCAUUAGAAAGUAUUGACUUAUCUCCUAAAUCACUGAAUUAGAUUCUUUGAACGUGUGGACUUAAAACAUAGUUACAACUUAAAAGUUGAGAGUUAUAUUUUAUUCAGUGGGAAUUUUUAGGAUUUCAAGCUUGGGAGACAGCAUGUCAAGUGACCCUGAGAAAACUGCUCUGAGGAGGUGAGGUGAGGAGCCAUGUUACCUAGAAGUUUUACAACAAAGGGCAGGUAGUCUAGACAUCAUAAGAUUACUGUUAAUUAAAGAAGACCAGAUAACCCAAGUUAAGGAAUUUAGCACUUUUUAUGUAUGGGAAGAGUCUGGGCUCACUGAAAUCGUUCCUUUGAUAUGUACCUCAGCUAUCUAGGGCCAGUAUCCUGUUUUCCCAUCCUGAGCUUCCUCAGGGGUCACCAUGGAGAGUGGCUGUGGUCUGAUUGCUGCUAGAUGGCAGGUAUUCUUCUUUCUGAGUUCCCUCAGGGCUCACCAAGUCACCGUCCAUGGUGGCUGCAAUCGCUGAUGGCUGUCACAUCCUUGUUUACUGAAACGGCAGGAGAUAGUCCCUUUCUCAACUGUUAGGCCUGAGAAUCAGCAUUCACCAAACUUGUUUGGGAGUACUUUUACAUACUAAGACCUUAGCAUCUUUGGCUAUAUGAGAAGUGGAAUGUUUUAUCCCUUCAGCCAUUUCUGGACCACUGCUUGGAACCUGAGCCAGGAGAUCUCUGAUAAAAAGAAAAGAGAUGGAUAGACAUGGUUUCAGAAUUUAGAGAGACUUUUCAGUUAUGUGUGGUUUGCUGCAUUAAUUUUUAUUUAUUUACCCAUUUAGUUAUUUUUUCUGGUUUUCAAUAAAUAUUUCUUGAGAAUC